AGCCCAUUGGGCUGACCCUGAUGCACAGGAAUACGGGCCCAUCUAAUUUUUUAGUGCUACCUACCACCUAAAAAGGCCCUGUGCAUCAGGUUGGCCCAACAUCAGUGCAUCAGGGUGUCCAGACUUCACGCACGCACGCCUCCGCAAUGGGCCAAUACAGGCCACGCACACACGCACCUGCUGUUUGUUCCCCAGCCCAAGUCACGUACGCACGCUGUAAUCAAUCGAUCGAUCAGUUUCCCGUGUAGACGUACGUGCGCGUACCAAGCGGCCGUGAAAUCAAUCGAUCCAUACGACCUAUAUACGCCUCGCGUACACAGGCGGCAGCGAACCGGCGACGUCGGACGCCGCAGGCCGCAGCACCACAGCCACACUUGAGUUCCGCGCGACACCUACCGCACGUCGCAAUUUCGUCUUCGGCUGGCCCUCCUGCUCUCUGCAAUUCGGCGACCUGUCCGAGAGAUCUUCCGUUCUGUCUAUAGAUUGGAUAGGAAGGAACCCCAAUUCUGAUAAUAUUGAGAAGUUUCUUCUCAAAAGAAAAGCGCCAUCACAAGAUGUUUUGGAAAACAUAAUUUGGGGAGAGAGGAUUCAAUAUGAUCCGGGCAAGAGAAAAUUGAAAGAAUGAAUGAAAAAGGCCAGCAAUGCUCAAGUUGUUGAAUAUUUCGUCGCUCGGAGGUGUAGGAUGUACUAAAGGUUACUGAACCUUGUUGUCCAAUGAUGUAUUCUGGAAUUUGGAAAUGCAAGACAUCCAUUUUCAGGUAAUUUUGUCUCUCAUUUUAUCAUUAUAGUGAGCAUUUUGAUUGCUACAUAUUUUUUUACACAUCGCCUUCUAUUAUGUCCUAUAAUAUGUGCUAGAAGUUGUUAAACAAACCUUUAUUCAAUAGAAAGUUGUUUGAAAAUUUUACGCCUUAUUAAAGCGGUGCAUCGGGUAACAUUUGCUCCAGC